GACGAACGCUGGCGGCAAGCUUAACACAUGCAAGUCGAACGCCGUAGCAAUACGGAGUGGCAGACGGGUGAGUAACACGUGGGAACGUGCCUUUCGGUUCGGAACCACUGAGGGAAACUUCAGCUAAAACCGGAUACGCCCUUCGGGGGAAAGUUUAGGCCGAAAGAUCGGCCCGCGUCAGAUUAGGUAGUUGGCGGGGUAAUGGCCCACCAAGCCGAUGAUCUGUAGCUGUUCUGAGAGGAAGAUCAGCCACACUGGGACUGAGACACGGCCCAGACUCCUACGGGAGGCAGCAGUGGGGAAUAUUGGACAAUGGGCGCAAGCCUGAUCCAGCUAUGCCGCGUGGAUGAAGAAGGCCUUCGGGUUGUAAAGUCCUUUCGGCGGGGAAGAUAAUGACAGUACCCGCAGAAGAAGCCCCGGCUAAUUUCGUGCCAGCCGCCGCCCGUAACAC
rnacentral:rRNA from 1 species